UGAUAUUUGUUUACAAUAUCGGCUUAUCCACAUAAUGUUGAUGUUGGAAUUUAGACAGCAAAUGAGGAAAUUUGGUUCAAUAUAUUCAGGCAGAUUUAUUAAGAUUUGGAUUGAGAAAUAUUGUCUAGUCUGAAAUGUAUGGAGACGAUAACACAAACAAAUGGAAGAUGGGAAACUGUGGAAUUAAAGAUAAGUUUUUUAGCAAGUCAAGAGUGUAGUCCGAAAAAAUGUUGAAAGAGUUUUCUUGAGAUUACCACAAGACAUAACAGAUGAAGACGUGGUGAAGAUGGGAAUCCUGUAUUUAAUUACAUCUUUUUGUACAUAACUAUCCAGUCGAGUUUGGUAAGUAAAGAAAUUCGGGCAAGUCCCUGUUGAAGAUGAAGAAGCUUAUGGAUUAUCUUUAUUCUUCAGUAGAUGAUAAUUUUUCCAUUGUUGUUUGAAAUAGCAAUUGAAAGGGAGAUGAACAUUGGGUUAGCA
rnacentral:lncRNA from 1 species